AUCGCGGUGGCCGAGUGGUUAAGGCGUUGGACUCGAAAUCCAAUGGGGUUUCCCCGUGCAGGUUCGAACCCUGCCCUCGACG
rnacentral:tRNA from 1 species